GCUAAAGAGAUGAACCUCAGGGUCGUCGAUGCAAACACGAUAACUUUGUCUUUCGAUGAGACGACAACACUAGAGGAUGUUGACAAGCUGUUUGAGGUUUUCUCUGGUGGCAAGCCGGUGAGCUUCACUGCUGAGUCGCUUGCGCCUGAGGUUCAGCCUGUUAUCCCGAGCAGCGUUGCGAGGGAGAGCUCAUACCUGACACAUCAGAUCUUCAAUUCGUACCACACAGAGCACGAGCUGCUCCGGUACCUUCAUCGGUUGCAAGCCAAGGAUCUAUCCUUGUGCCACAGUAUGAUUCCGCUCGGUUCUUGCACAAUGAAGUUGAAUGCCACUGUGGAGAUGAUGCCUGUGACAUGGCCGAAUUUUGCGGACCUCCACCCCUUUGCACCAACUGAACAAGC
rnacentral:misc_RNA from 1 species